CCCGGCCUCCUAUAAAGACUUGACAUCGUGGACACACUGUACUUUCCAGCCAAACGCAGACUGAACAUCCCCCAAACCGUCCAGAAACCAGGUGCAGGUCUUAAGAGCCCCCCCUAGCUCUUCCCUCUGUUUCGACCAACCUCACACCACAUCAACAGACAUGAUCAUCAGACUGGGCAGACUGACACCUGGAUACUUCCGCCUCCUCCAGAGGCAAGUUGCCGGUGAGGUGCAGACGCAGCCACAAGACCGUGCCGUCAACCAGAUCGCCAUGAUGCUGGCCAUCAUGGGCCUGAGUCUGUCCUACUACAGUGCCAAACAGAUGACUGAGAAGGUCCACGUCCAGCCUGCGCCCUGAAAACACACGGCUGCUCUGAUGAUAGAGAUGAUGGAUGAGCCAAUGAGAAGCGAAGGAGGUGGAGCGAGAUGGGGGUGGGGGGGUGGGAAGACGCCGCAGAGACACAGCGGCGUCUUCCAGGACCACACACUUUUCUGACCUCAGUCAUAGUUGCAUACGGGGGGGGGGGGUUUGGGGAUGGAUCACUUGAGGCUAUGGAUAGGACUGGUUUAUGGACUGGUUUUGGGGGUUGAUCAAAACCAGCUGACUGCCAACUGGGUCUGACCGUUAGUUGUUACAAAGGAACAUGCUUGCAAGAUGCUGUCAAUACUGUUCUGAGCUACAAAAAGGGAAAAAUACUCUUAUAACUGAAUUCUGCUCAAAGGCUGAACCAAAUGGGGUUAAAUGAUGAACGAUAAUGUCGUCUUUGUAAGGGAAAGGCUGACUGCAAUUGAGAUGUACCUUGUAACAAAGUGAUGGCAGACCCAUGUUUUAAAGGGGAUAAAAAUUAGCCCAACCUUUUUUUUGGUUUUUGCUUCAUGAGAGAACCUUGUGAACAGAUAGGGAUCCGUAUUCACAAAUUGUCAAUAUGAUAUACUUGUGAAAUGUAUCUGCCAGGUGUCAGAAAUUCAGUGAAUAGUUGUGCUAAAGUGCAGAAAAGUUUGAACUGCUUUUUCAAACUACUCACUACCUAUUUUGUAAUGGUUUUUGUUUCCUGUGAUUUCAAACAGUUCAAUGAAGUCCUGUUAAAAUGAUGUGUGACGACCUUAAUAAGCACCCUGGUUAAGAACCCUUCCUGCAAUACAAUCUGCUACAUGUUAAUGCAAACAUUUAACUAUACUGAACAUUGCAUGUUUGUGCAGACUUUUAAUCAAUGCAAAAUGAAUAAGUAUCCUGUUUUUAUGAUGACUAUUACUUUAUUUUGUAAUGAUUUAAUAAAGCUGUGAAUAUUUUGAGAUGUACAGUGGAAAAUAUUGAUUGCUAACUCUGAUCAGUAACAAACUCUUGUUUCUCUACAAAAUGAAGUCUGUCUCUGAAGUUGAGUUUAAACAGUUCCUUGUUUGGCACGGGGGCCUGCAGCUGUAUUUUUCUUUUUUUUUCUUUCUCCGGUUAGCGAACCCUCUGCACAUGCAAGCCCAACUUUAUAGUGAAUUUGCAAAAAUGUGGUUAAGAGAUGGCUUUGUUUGAGUGCCAGAAUAGAGGGUUGGUGCAAUAAAGGUAGUAGAGGAAGGAAUCUCAAGGUGUAAGGAGAAAAUGCUCAACAACUCAGUUUUUACUUUAUCAGCAUGUUGUCGUUUUUACUAGAGAUUGGAUUACCGACGGUAGGCUUUAAGGAAAGCGUAAAGAUAGACUGUUCAAGCAUGUAGUAAGACGAUGCAACUGAAGGAUGUUCCCCUGCAACAUGGACACGUUUGAGGCGGCUUGGUUUUUGCAUUUUUGCAUGUCCUGCUUUCUCCUGCAGGGCGUAGAGUUUAGAAAGUGCGCAUGCCUGUUCACCGUCUGAUGUGAUGUCGCGUGACAGGCUGAGACCUCGUUGGGCGCCACGUGCCUCUGCCCACGCCUCCUCCCCCUCACCCCCCCACUAGAACAUCACUGGGCAAAUAUCCCACUUUGCCGUUUCAGUGAUGCUAGGCUCAGGACACAACCCUUGACUCUGGGCACCCAUUGGCUAACCAGUGAUGCGUCACCAAAAUCGGCCUGAUUCUGAGCCACAGAGACAAAGGGACGGGGGGGGGAAAUGUGGAUGAGGAGGUGCAUUAUGAGGGAUGGAAGUGGGGGCUUCCUUUCCUUUGUUUUAUUUAAACAUCUAAUGAAUUCUCUCAAUGUGGCAUAAAAGUACACUCGGGAUAGACGUGGACGUAUCAAUUAAAACUAAGCAAGGAUCUGCAGAUGUUUGUUUUUUUUAGAUGUUUGGGAAGGCCUUAAUGAAAUGUUUUGUUAAAAAAAUUAUCCAGGAAUGGGUGAAAUUUGCAGCUGCAGGUGUAAAACAUAACCAGGACUGUGAAGCUCAAUUGUGUAUAAUAACUAUUAUACACAAUUUUCGACAGUCUGUAAAAUAGAAAAAUCCUGUAAUUUCAUCAGAUGCAAUUCAGCACUUUAGAUAUGUUUUUGUUUCAAAAAGUAUCAUACUGUUUUUGUGGAAGAGGAAGGUUUUGAGCCUUGCAAGGUCAACCUGUGAACAUAUAUAUAAUGCGUUGCUGCUGCUUUUUGCUCAAUAAAUAUAUUCCGAUUUUA